rnacentral:lncRNA from 1 species
CUCCUUGGCUUGUUUUUCGAUACUGAAUCCGCCUAUGGCCAAAUUGGAGCCAAACCACCGGCCAGUCGGCCGAAAAAUACUGCUGAAGUCUAGCGGCACUGCCGCGACUUACCUUAGUUUUUGCCUCCGAUGAGGCCCUUUCCGGUUCUCGUUCAAUGCAAUUUUUACACCACUGUGAUCACCGUCCUUUUCUCUAUAGGUUGAUUGGAGCAAAACAUCAAACCGUGACUCGCGCUGGAGAAGCACCCCAACCGAGAG